rnacentral:lncRNA from 1 species
GACUAGACCCAUAUAAAGAAAAGGAAAAAAAGAUGGAUUUGAAAUCCCUCUGUUAGAGAAAAACAACAACAGUGUCGUGUAUUGAAGAACUGUGACGGCACAGAAAAAGAGAAGAAGGAAAUUGGUAUCCGGUAGUAAUAGUAAACUUGUUUCGUUUGGUCUACAAUUUUAGUAUGUUAUUUCUACCACUGAGUUUGGUUUUUUAAUAUUCAGUGUUAGUAGUUUUACCUUCUCAGAGAGUUAAUUUGG